rnacentral:rRNA from 1 species
UACGAGGGGUCCUAGCGUUGUUCGGAAUCAUUGGGCGUAAAGGGUGUGUAGGUGGCCUUAUAAGUCAGGUGUGAAAGCCCCGGGCUCAACCCGGGAAGUGCAUCUGAUACUGUUAGGCUUGAGUACCGAAGAGGAUAGUGGAAUUCCAGGUGUAGUGGUGAAAUACGUAGAUACCUGGAGGAACACCGGUGGCGAAGGCGGCUAUCUGGUCGAGUACUGACACUGAGACACGAAAGCAUGGGGAUCAAACAGG